UACGGGGGGAGCAAGCGUUGUUCGGAUUUACUGGGCGUAAAGGGCGCGUAGGCGGUCAGCACAAGUCAGUUGUGAAAUCUCCGGGCUUAACUCGGAAAGGUCAACUGAUACUGUGCGACUAGAGUGCAGAAGGGGCAACUGGAAUUCUCGGUGUAGCGGUGAAAUGCGUAGAUAUCAGGAAGAACACCGGUGGCGAAGGCGGCUCUCUGGGCCUUACCUGACGCUGAGGAGCGAAAGCGUGGGUAGCGAACAGG
rnacentral:rRNA from 1 species